UUCAGAAUUUACAAGUGAUAUGGAUGUCGAAAUUUUCAUUUCGCUUCUUCGGCAACGAUCUGUGCUGCGGAACAAAUUCGGUGAUACAAGUUGCUGCACGAAGGUAAGCAAUGGUCACAGGCGCACGAGAUCAUCAUGGAGCAUAUUGCCGUGGACUGUGUUAUCAACGAUUCGCUACUGAACGAGUUCGAUGAUGUCAAACAAAUUUCCAACUGGUUAAUCAAGGGGCAUGUUUUGAGUGAGCUUAUCGAGACUUUUUGAGGAGUUUAGUUUGUGACAAUUUGACCUGACUCGAGACGCGAUCGACUACGAGGUGGACGUGGCUCGGCUCGAGGAUCUCAAGCCCUAAAUGUCCGAUCUGUGAUCGGUGAUCGAGAUGUUUCCCUGUCCGACGCCGAAGCAUCGGUUCUGUCAGAGCGAAAUCACCCAAUAUAUCUGAGUCGGACAUUCUUUGCCCAAGAUCCGCGUAUAAAUAGCUGUGCGUAGAUUCACGCUCGAGUAGCUACUCCUGCCCCAGGAGUACGUGCUCGAUAAAUUGCGGUAUAUGCUGCGCGCGUUUCUGGGCAAGGACCUGCGUAAACAGCAAUGAGAUAGAGUUCGAAGGAAAAUUAUGACAUUAUGGUUUGCCACACUCCAACAUUCGGCCGUCUUUUCCAAGGGACGCAAAUACGAGAAAGCUCGUAGUUGCCGCAGCAGCUGUGGUUUCAAUAUUUUUCGUAUACAGUGGAACCCCGAUUAUCCACGAGCGGAUGAUAGUUUGCCUCAUACAAACGUCUUAGAUACAAACUAAUGUCGUAUCCAGACCAUUCAACAUUCCGCCGUCAUCGCGGAUAUUUGCAGCAAUGUUUAUCUGUCAUUCCGCUAUAUAAAUGAAUGCAUGUAUGUGUAUGUGAAAGAUGUACGGUUUUGUGUAGCGUGAGGUCUCUUUUACAUUGUUAUCCGGUUAUCCGUCCAAACCCAGC